rnacentral:rRNA from 1 species
UAUGUGAUCGUCUCUCGCAUAUCAAUAAGCGGAGGAAAAGAAACUAACAAGGAUUCCCCUAGUAACGGCGAGUGAAGCGGGAAGAGCUCAAAUUUGAAAUCUUAAAGGGUUUCCCUUUACGAAUUGUAGUUUAAAGAAGUGUUUUCUGUUGAGGUUUUGGUAAAAGUUCUUUGGAAUAGGACAUCAUAGAGGGUGAGAAUCCCGUAUUUGACCUUUACUUUCAACUUUGUGAUACACUUUCAAAGAGUCGGAUUGUUUGGGAAUGCAGUCCAAAAUGGGUGGUAAGUUUCAUCUAAAGCUAAAUAUUGGCGAGAGACCGAUAGCGAACAAGUACCGUGAGGGAAAGAUGAAAAGAACUUUGAAAAGAGAGUUAAACAGUACGUGAAAUUGUCAAAAGGGAAGCGUUUGACACCAGUGUUGUUUUUCUGAAAAUCAAUUAAAGAACUGUUUAUGCUAAGUUGUUUAGACUUUAUCAGCUAACUGUUUAGUUUUGAGCUUUUCUUUAAUGCACUUUUCAGUUAACAAGUCAACAUCAAUUUCUUUUGCUGUAAAAAAGCUUGAGGAAGGUGGCUUGAGAUUCGUCUUAAGUGUUUAUAGCCUCUUGCCUAUGCAGUCGGAGAGAUUGAGGUCUGCAGCGUAGAUCCUUCGGGGCUAAAUGCAUUUGUGCUAAGUUAUAGCAUUUUAUAGACAACUUGUUGACUAUGAUUUGUCUUGUAGCUUACUCGCUUAUGUUAUUUUACCUACGCUUAGGAUGUUGAUCUACAGAGCGAGAGU